CAGGAGUGCAGGUUCUGAGGGGCCAAAGCUUGAACUGGGGCCCUGCUUCCUCACAGAGCAGGAUACUAAAGGCUGUGGGGGAGAAGCAGUGAGUUGACAGAGUCAGGGUCCUCCCAUGCAUUCUGCUCAGAGCCUGGCAGAGAAAAGCAGGAACAAAACCCAAUCAUGAGAAACCAUCUGCCCAAGAUCCAAGGUAGGUCCAAGGUCCUGUGAUGACUCAGUGAUCCUGGGAGCACGGAGAGGACAGAGGAGUGAUGGGUCAUAAUGGAAAUGAUCACCUGGUGUUGAGCUCUAGAAUAGAAGAGAUGCUAAAUAUAGCCAGCACCUCCUCUAACCAAGGGACAGCAGAAAGGACAGAGAGGACCACAGUGAAGAGGAUGCUCUGCCUGAACAGAUGGCACUGAUACUCAGUGCCUGAUGCCUUGGCAUCUGCUAUAGUAAUUACCACCAUCUUAACUGUGAAUCAGCAUCCCUUCGUGAUGGUGCCUGGGCUGGUUCAGCCUUAUCCAGUGGUGAACAUCCCAGAUGCAUAGAUGCCAAUUACUUAAAGAGAAAGCAGCAUGGUGGAGAAGGAAAGUGGCUGGAUAUCUUCCAGGGCAGAGCUCAAGUCCUGGUUACUCACACCAUCACCAACAUCCCUCUAUUUGUCCUAGAGGGGCAAUCACUCUCAUAGCCUUUGAAGGAGAAAGUAAAUCACACACGCCCAGUGGAGCGGCUGGCAUCCUCUUUGGUCAAGGUAGACAAAGGGCAGGUGUUUGAACAGCAGGAUGCCUGUGAGCUCUGCUGGCUCAGAGCCCUGGGAUACCUUUCUUCCUGCUUUAUCCAGGCCCCAAACCUCACCCACAGUCUCUCUCAAAGCUCCUAAUCUUCAGCCUGGAGAGCGACUUCUCACCUACCCAGAUGGGUUUUGUUUUGUUUUGUUUUGUUUUGUUUGUUUUGUGACAGGGAGUCACUAUGUAUCUCUGGCUGUCCUGGGAUUCAUUAUGUAGAUAAGGCUGGCCUUGAAUUCACAGAGAUCUACCUACCUCAGCCUCCCAAGUGUUGGGAUUAAAAGCAUGCUCUACUAUACCCAGCCCAUAAAUUUAAUUGAACCAAAGCCAUGCUCAUUCAUUGACAUGUUAUUGACAGCUGCUUCUCCAAGACAAAGGCAACAGUGCCUACAAUAAAGAUUAUGUGAACUGGGCCUGAGCA
rnacentral:lncRNA from 1 species